UACCUUUGGAAGUGCAAAUGAGAGGUAGC
rnacentral:piRNA from 1 species